UACAGAGGUCUCAAGCGUUGUUCGGAUUCAUUGGGCGUAAAGGGUGCGUAGGUGGCGGGGUAAGUCAGGUGUGAAAUCUCGGAGCUCAACUCCGAAACUGCACUUGAUACUGCCUUGCUCGAGUACUGGAGAGGAGAUUGGAAUUUACGGUGUAGCAGUGAAAUGCGUAGAUAUCGUAAGGAAGACCAGUGGCGAAGGCGAAUCUCUGGACAGUUACUGGCACUGAGGCACGAAGGCCAGGGGAGCAAACGGG
rnacentral:rRNA from 1 species